ACUGUGGUGGCGUAGUGGUAGCAUUUUUGCCUAGGAAGCAAGACGACCCGGCUUCGAGUCCCGGCCGCAGCA